UGAAAGACUUGAGUAGUGAGACG
rnacentral:ncRNA from 3 species